rnacentral:rRNA from 1 species
UACGUAGGCAGCAAGCGUUGUUCGGAGUUACUGGGCGUAAAGGGUGCGUAGGCGGCUUUUUAAGUCUGGUGUGAAAUCUCCCGGCUCAACUGGGAGGGUGCGCCGGAUACUGAGGGGCUAGAGUGUGGGAGAGGAAAGUGGAAUUCCUGGUGUAGCGGUGAAAUGCGUUGAUAUCCUAAGGAACACCGGUGGCGAAAGCGGCUCACUGGGUCUCUUCUGACGCUGAGGCACGAAAGCUAGGGUAGCGAACGGGG